rnacentral:piRNA from 1 species
UCCAUAGCAUCGUGCUGUGACCAAGA